rnacentral:rRNA from 1 species
UACAGGGGGUGCAAGCGUUAUUCGGAAUUAUUGGGCGUAAAGAGCGUGUAGGUGGUUUACUAAGUUUGGUGUGAAAUCCCUGGGCUCAAUCCAGGAAGUGCAUUGAAUACUGGUAGACUAGAGUGCAGGAGAGGAGAGCGGAAUUCCAGGUGUAGAGGUGAAAUUCGUAGAUAUCUGGAGGAACAACAGUGGCGAAGGCGGCUCUCUGGACUGUUACUGACACUAAGGCGCGAAAGCGUGGGGAUCAAACAGG